GUUAUAUUCCAUAGACAUGUUUAAUUUCUUGCAGCUCCACCUCGUUGCUGCAUUUGAAGCACAGCAUUAAUUUAUGUUCACCCCUUUAUUUGACCUAAUUUGAAGAGUUGUGUUUUUAACCUGAUCUGUAGAACAGAGAGGUUGAAAGCACUUAAGUCUUAUUCAGUACCCACAUUGCCUUGCUGCCUGGGUAUCUGACCCCUUUCCAUAAGCAUUUUUUUUUCAAUCCAUCUGGCUCUUCAAUAGAAAGCUGCUAUUACAUAUAUUGUCACUUAUGAAGGAUGUUAGAAAGUCACAGCUUUAUUGUGACAGUUUUUGUCUUGGACUUUGAUACCCGCUAGCUAGGGUAUCUUAAAAGCAAGUUGCUCUCCCUUCACUUUCCUUUCCCUCUGCCCUGCCAUUCCUUUUACAAUGCUGUGAAAACAGUUCACCUCCUCAGAUGAAUGGGCACUACCUAUUUUGUUUGUUAAAGGGCAAUUUUGAGAAUUAGAUGGGAGGAUGUAAUUACUUCCCUUAGCACCU
rnacentral:lncRNA from 1 species